rnacentral:rRNA from 1 species
UGGGGAAUAUUGGACAAUGGGCGAAAGCCUGAUCCAGCCAUGCCGCGUGAGUGAUGAAGGCCUUAGGGUUGUAAAGCUCUUUUAGUCGGAAAGAAAGAGUUGCAAUGAAUAAUUGUGAUUUAUGACGGUACCGACAGAAAAAGCACCGGCUAACUACGUGCCAGCAGCCGCGGUAAUACGUAGGGUGCGAGCGUUAAUCGGAAUUACUGGGCGUAAAGGGUGCGCAGGCGGUCUUGCAAGUCAGAUGUGAAAGCCCCGGGCUUAACCUGGGAAUUGCGUUUGAAACUACAAGGCUAGAGUGCAGCAGAGGGGAGUGGAAUUCCAUGUGUAGCAGUGAAAUGCGUAGAGAUGUGGAAGAACACCGAUGGCGAAGGCAGCUCCCUGGGUUGACACUGACGCUCAUGCACGAAAGCGUGGGGAGCAAACA